CCAGUCUUAGACAGGUUAAGACAUUUACAAAACACAUUUAUAGCUAUAACUUAAUUAAUUGCUGUAUAAAAGGGUCAUAACAAUGCAAUAGAGAGGUACAAAUUAGACACAAAACGGAAUACCAUGACUCAAAUAAACAGGUUGUGUAGGCCUAUAACUGCAAUUGUAAAAUGUUUAGUCUGUUUAUGUUCUCUAUUCCAGACCCAUGGUAAUGCUCUAGUCUCCUUAAUCAUUUAGCAUAUUCACUUGUGCUCAAAUUAACACCUAACCUACUUCACCAGGCGUGUAGACAUACUACUGGUGAAAUAUCUGUUUCCCUAACCAUGUCUGUCUGCUUGCAGUACAUCCAGCGUGCCUUGCUCAAGGGCACAUUGGCAGAUUUUUCACCUACUCGGCUCUGGGAUUUGAACAAGCAACAUUUUGGUUACUGUCCCAACACUCUUAACCGCUUGGCUACCUGCCGUAGCCGUACCUGAUAGAUCCGUUCCUGUAUGGAUUCACUGCAGCUCUGCAGAGUCUGUGUAGGGGUGAGGACAAGCUGGAGAUGGAGGAGAUGGUGUUGGAGUAUGCUGACAUAAAGGACGAGGCCCCUAAGAGUCUACUGAAGCUGCUGAGAGACAGAAGCUUCUGAUGGCAGCUCAUCACCAUGGUGGUGGUGUACAGCCGCAUCCAGUUCGCUGGCAUCACUGCAGAGCUCCUCAAGUCGUUCAGCUUCGUGCUGUUCACCUGCAUGUGUCUGUUGGCGUCACUCUGUCUUCUUCUACCUACUGGAGACCAAGGGGAAAACCCUUCUGGAGAUCUCAGGGAGUUUAAAAACAUCACUCUGUGUGUAAAACCCCUCUCACAUGACAAGACCCUGGAGACAAAGUUAGAAAAACUGUUGGAAGCAAAAUAACUGAGAUGUAUUAUACUCUGUCUGAGUUGUUUAGUUUGUAUUUUAGUAUUGUCCAUCCUGUAUAUUUAUACACUGUGCAUUCACAGCCAUAUA